UACGUAGGGUGCAAGCGUUGUCCGGAAUUAUUGGGCGUAAAGAGCUCGUAGGCGGUUUGUCGCGUCUGCUGUGGAAACCCGAGGCUCAACCUCGGGCCUGCAGUGGGUACGGGCAGACUAGAGUGCGGUAGGGGAGAUUGGAAUUCCUGGUGUAGCGGUGGAAUGCGCAGAUAUCAGGAGGAACACCAAUGGCGAAGGCAGCACUCUGGGACGUGACUGACGCUGAGACGCGAAAGCGUGGGGAGCAAACAGG
rnacentral:rRNA from 1 species